rnacentral:lncRNA from 1 species
AAACUGGUUGUAGGAAUGGUAAAAAUCACUAUUUCCUGCAAAGUAAUGGAAGAAAGGAUUUGUGAGGCUAGUCUUAAGCUGUAGUCAAUCUGGUGCAUUUUGUGUGUUGUUCUGUAUUGUUCUGUCAUAAACAGGGGUACCUUAGGAUAGAACAUGGGCUUAGGACACCUAUAAGCCUGCUGUUCAAGAUGGCCUAGCAAACUGGUCAGUUACGAACUUUGCUGCAGGUCCCUGAAAAAAACUGGAGUCAAAGAAACUUUUCUUUUGAGCUGCUUGCAGCUUGUAGCAAUUGAGUAAAGUAUAUUGCUGUGAAUAACAUUUGAGGCAUAUUUGUUUCUCUCUACCUAAUUUCUCCAGAAUUUGGAAAUUAUUUACUACUAUGCAACAGAAGAAAACUAUGCCUGAAAUAUCUACAGGAGAAAUUCUGUGUAUGAGUGUUUAAGGAACCUCUUUUGUUACUCAAGUAACCAGAAUGAGUAAUAAAAAUCAAGCAUGAGUAGUAGUAUUUGUCAUGCACUUUUUUUUCUAUUGCUAAAAUGAAAGCUAUCAUUGAACUCAGAUUAGGAAAUAAUUCUUCCCAAGCAAAAAAAAAAUCAUGAAUUAUUUAUUAGAUUUUCUUCUACCGUUAAUUUUUAAUGCAUGGGAAUGACUAAUAGUAUAAGCCAAAUCAGAAAGUCAAUUCACAUUCCAGAUUCCAUUUUUAGAUGGGCAUGAAGAAUUCAAAUUCUUUUAUUCGAUAAGCCAGCCCAGUCACUGGAAAAAAUUAAACUGAAAUAUCUGCCUGCAUCAAUCUCUCUACCAACGUAUGACCCUUUCAGGACCAAAUGAUUAUGGGCCACUCUAUAUGCAGCCCUAUAACUCAUAGCUAUGUAGUGAAAUUUACACUUCAGUGAAUAUGAUUCUGUCUCUGUAUCAAUAAUAAUAUCUUUAUAUUAUAUCAAGAUGUCUUAAUACCUUGCCUUUUCUAAAAAGUAUUAGAGUUCUUUGUGAUAUAGGGCCUCAAAACAUUUUAUGGACACCAAAUUCUAUUCUAUUCUUUUCUUUCUCUUUCUUUCUUUCUCUUUCUUUUUCCUUUCUUUUCUUCUGUCUUUUUUUCUUCUUUAUCCACCUCUUCCUUUUAAUCGGUAUUGCAUCUGAAAUAACAAAAUAAAUUCUCAGUAGCCUAGCCACCUCCAGGUUUUCUUCACCUUUGUUUAUGUUUCAAACCACAGCCGGAUUCUUUUCUUUUCUCUCUUUUUUUUGCUGGGGGGGACAGAG